rnacentral:rRNA from 1 species
AGACGUCUACAUUAGAUACCCGUGUAGUCCCAGCCCUAAACGAUGCGCGUUAGGUGUAUCGGUGACCACGAGUCACCGAGGUGCCGAAGGGAAACCGUGAAACGUGCCGCCUGGGAAGUACGGUCGCAAGGCUGAAACUUAAAGGAAUUGGCGGGGAGCACCACAAGAGGUGGAGGCUGCGGUUCAAUUGGACUCAACGCCGGAAACUCAUCGGGAGCGACAGCAGUAUGAUUGCCAGGUUGAUGACCUUGCUUGACAAGCUG